rnacentral:lncRNA from 1 species
GCACUCUGGGAGCAGGCUGGGACUCGCGGCCUUGCUGCCAUCUCCUGCUCCUUCAGCCCAUCUGCGCUGGGGCAGCCGCGCAGCACUGGGCCUCACUGGGCCCUUCCCGGGUGUGGGGUGGGCACAGGGUGCUGUCCACAGCCUGCAGAGCUGCUGCUGCUCAGAGCUGCUCCCUCGUGAUGCAGGGCUGCUGGGGGCACUGCCACAGCAGGAUCCGGCCCCUCGUCCUGGGCACUCAGCUUGGCCCAGGGGUCUGAUGAAGCGCUGCUGGAUGCUCAAGAGCAGAGGAUCUAUCAACUGCAGACCAAGCAGAGGCAGAGGCAGGCAGAACCGGAGCAAUAAUGCAGCCAGAUCCAGCAGCUCAGCCAGGAGCUGGAGGCCACCGUCAGCUGCAGGAGGAGGCUCGGACACAGUGUGGCUGAGGAAAAUCACAACACCAGCUGCAUGUAAGAAACUCCUGGAAAGAAGAACAAAGCCAUCUGUUCUCCAUGUCCACGAAGGCAUGCACAAGAACUAAUGGGUGUACCCUACAUCAAGAAAGAUUCAGGUUAGGAACAGCGUCUAAUGGAGAGGAGAACAAAGCAGGUGAACAGACUGCAAGGGGCCUGAGUGUUCUGCGUCACAGGAGAUCUUCAAGGACAGAUAAACAGAAGACAAGGCACCUGUAGGUUCCCCCGUCAUAGAACUGGAAGACAGGCCAUCAGCCUCUUGAGAUUCAUGCCAGCCUUGCUCACUUCCUAAACCCAGCUUUGUUUGUACCCAGAAACUCAUUUGUCUUCUUCAAAGCCCCACCACAGGGUCUCCUUUAGCAUUCAUAUGUUACCAACAUAUCACUUGCCAGGGUGAUUCUUCUCUCUAGAAAAGUGACUGCACGCUUGCUUCCUACCAUGGUUCACCUAACCUCCAAUGAGACUCAGUACCUGCUUUGUGUUGUAAAUGGUGUCCCAUCUUGAAAUGCACUGCCUGUGUUCCUGCACUGGAUAGUAGUGUUGAUCUGUGGGAGUAUUCUUUCCUCUUUCUUGGAACCUCAUUCUUAUGCUUCUGCAGGCUUGUUCACAGGAGACUGGCUGAAGAGCACACUCAUUGCUGUUUUCCCAGGUAAAUUCAGUCUUGCUUCCUCACUAGUGGUGUUCCUUUGGCUCUUUUCUCGGGGAACGGGGUUCUCUUUGUACUGAUGCUGUGGGUUGGAGGACUCAAUGCACAGUCUGUCCUCUCCUGGCUCUCUGGAAGGGCAGACAGAGCUGCCCGAUCCCUCGUCCAGGAGCCCUAGCACUCACCUACGUAUACUGGGAUGAUGACUUGGUGCUCCUUCCUGUGUUCCAAAACAGGCCACACCUGGGAUGGUCUUGGGUAGAGAUAUGUUUCAUAGGGUGAGCAGGGGCCACAGUGCAGUGGGCUUGAGACCUGGUGCCAGGGCCUUAACUGAACUGGGCAAGGAUCAGGCAAUUGUGCUGCUCAACAGAACUGCACAGCUGACAGUCUCUGAACUGCUCUUUAGCAAUACAUCUAGCAAUCUGUGGUGCUUUAGCUGGAGCUGGUGGGUGCCUUGUUCCUUGAGUUGCUCUCAGGAACUUGCAUGUGGAAAGAAAGCUGGAUUUUCACCUUUUACUACCUACUUAUCUGGCCAUAGGUUACCCAGUAGUCAGAGCAUGUGCCUUCUCAUAUACUGAAGAGAGCAAGCAAAGCCUGGAGGUUGUUGAUGGGUGACAAAGGCUCUGAUACAUACAUCUGUAUGACAUGUGCUGCUGUGCCUCAGGCUUUGGCUUGAGCAUUGAAGUUCCACCCUUGGUAGUAAACAUACGAGUAGAUGAGGCAGAGAUGGGAGUGUAGAUUUGCUAUCAGAACUGGUGGAUUUAAUUUCCAUUCUUAGCUGUAUGCAGUUUCCUAUAUGUGCUGCUUUGCAAAUGAGUUGCACAAUAGCUAUCAAAGACCACCUAGAAACAAGAUCAGCUUGAUGCCACUUAGUUCUGUUGCACAGUGGUGGUCCAGGCAAUGUGAAGGUGUUGGUCAGACCCAUGGAAAGGUCUCACCUCUGCUCCCUGAUGCCUGUAGGAGUCUACUGCUCUUUGCCUGCCUAGUGUUUGAGCGCAGUCAUGGUGCUGGAGGAGCAGAAUUGCCUGACUAUCAACAGUUGACAUAUGAGGUCUCAGUAACCAAAAGCGGUGCAGUUUUCUUAAUAAGAUGUUGCUCACUCACAGAGCCUUACACCUGUCUGUGGGGCAGCAGCCAUUUGGAUCAUAGGUCUCAGUGGGAGGGUGGAAUCACCACACACAUAUCAUAUACCAGGUCACACAGCAGCUCCCACAGACACCCCAGCACUGCCAAUAGCUUUUAUGGGGGCUAGAAGCACAGCCAGAACAGGGAACUGCAAGUGACAUGGGAAGAUGAAAUGUGUAAUGUAUGCAGACACUGAGGCGGAACCCCACAGGCACCUGGACCUGAGAGCCAGCUCCACAACACAGAUGCUAGAGAGAAUAAAGGAAAUGAUGGAGCACCAACUAAAAUGGUCUGCAAGGCUGAUUUCUCUCCAUGUAGUUUCUGAAGGAGCAGUCUUUGGUGCUGUGGAGAAAUGGGCAGCCUCCAGGCUGUGAGGUUAAUGCAGAGCCACGGCUGUUUGUAUAGCUGCAGAGUCUUUAAGAGAGACUUGGGAAAACUAGCCUGGAUUCCAAUGAAUAUUUACAAUUACACUGCUCCAAAGCUGAAUCCAAUCACAGCACUGCAGUAUGCAGGCUUUGUGCAUCAAAAGAAAAUGAGAGGAAAGCAGGAAAGAUGGAGCUGUGGAGCUGCCUUUGGAGAGACCUCCCUGCUUGUGGCAGAACUAAAAUGCUUUAUUUCUGAUAGAAGCAAUUUAUUCUUUGGGCAUUUUGCUUGAUAUUAGAAAGUUCCUGGCUGUUUUUUGAAGUGAGAGUUUUCAGUAGAUGGUCUUUAAAUCAGAGUGAAAGAAAGAAAUAGGGAGUGUUGUAGUCUAUAAUUCUGAUAUUGCACUAACAAACUGGAAAUAAGGGAGCAUUUCCAAGCUAGAGCAGAGACACUCCCCUUACUUUCCACUUGCUGAGUCUGAGGUUACCAUGUUCAAGAGGCCUGGGCAGAGCUUCCCUUGUUAAAAUCAUGCUCCUGAUAUGAUAUUUGACUGAUCACCAGGCUCUGCAUUAAACUGGAUGAUCUAGCAGAAGAAGGAACACAAAAUGCUGGAUGAACGUUCAUUGAAGCUCGGUAUUGACCUUUUCUUUAUUUCAGCAGAAGAUAGAAAAAUGUGUCAGGAAAUCACUGCAUGCAAAGGAGUUGGAGGAUUUGUGAGUGCAAGACCCCUGCAGAAAAUGGUGUGCAGCAGAGUAGGAAGUGCAUGGUGAAACAGAGGUACUGCUCAAGUUGACAAAAGGAGCAACACCAAAAGCUCACUUGACUGUACUGCCAGCUGAUCAGCUCUUCUGCAUGCGGCCAGGGCAAAUCGGCUUGGGCUCUCAGACUUGUAUGCCUUGUGUUGGCAGCUGGUUAAACUGUAAGAAAGAGCUGUACUAAUGGAAGGGGUUGCUUUACAUCUGGACAUCUGGAUGCUUUAAGACCUAUGGUGUGCACAUCCAUUCAUACACUGGGAGGUUUUCCAGAACUCUGACACAAUGGAGCAGUUGUGGAAGACAGCAGGUAGGAGAUGGAACAAAAGCACAGGUCAGGCUGGGGACAGAAAUUAUGCUUUUUAUUCAGACAUUGCAGGGCAUGCACAGGACAUCAGGCAUGUUGCUAAAACAUGGCUGCAGCACCAAAUGCUGCCUGCUGCCCUAACACACAGGGGCUGUGAAUAACUCAUGGCUUGUUGUGGUCCUGGAGUACAAAAACACCACUACUUUUCUUUAAUUACAAAUAGUUAAGGUAUAUCCUUCCAUUCUACCAGGCAGAUGUCCUGAAGCACCAUGGCAGCAUCAGAGCAGGUGCUAUGUGAGAAGGCAUGUUGUGAAUGAAGCUACAAGAACGUGCACUUACAUUUACACCGGGUUUAUUUACAAGCACACCUCACCUGGGACAGUGACAUCUGAAGGGCUAGCCUGCUCCAUCCCCAUGGUCCCAGCAGGCAGCAUGUCUCUACACCAGAGCAGAAGACAGCAUGGUGCUGUGUUCAGACUGUGCUAAUCCUGCCAUGUGUUUUGAAGAUGAUGUGUUUCCUGUUGCCUUUCACCUUGUGGCUGCACAGAUCCCUUCUGCUGGAUGGCAAUCUUAAAGGAUGCUGAUGGGAAAUCCCAGGAAGCUGCUCUCUGAUCUAAGUCACGCUGCUGGCAGAGGGAAGUCUCCAACACAUGCAGGCAUGGCACAGGGUGUUCCCCGCCGCUUGGCACAUACUGCAGUCGAUAGCCCUCAGCAGGAUCUUGCAUUCAAUAUUAUGCUGUCUAAGAGGCUUAAAAUUGACUGCAAAGCUUCGGUACAACUACAAAAAAAUCUUGUUUUCAGUUUCGCCUCUGGUGGAUUGCUCCAGAAUGAGACAGAGCAACUUGGUAAUUUAUUCUUGGAAUAGGGAUAGUACAUCUGCACUGGAGUAUUUGGAAUUGCAUUAUGUAAUAUGAAAAGCAGUCAUUCAUUUGAACUCCCCUUGUGGGAACAGCAGCUGCCCAGACAAAUUCCAUGUGAAGAUGGGAAAUGUGACAGAAAUCAGACAGAGCCUGCUUCUGUGUGCUGCAGAAACAACUGAGCAGUUUUGCGCCCACUAGGAAUGCCUUGCAUUCUAUCUUGCUCUCCACAGCUUGUUGUAGGUUCUUAUACCAGCUCCUGACAGACCCCCAUUUGCUGCUGCAAAAAACCAUAUAGUUGCUAGUGUCAGACAAAUGCUGCUGUCAGAGCAGAACUUGACAUAACAGCCCAUUUAAGCCACCAGCCCAGGAGCAGGAAUGGCUGUGGAGAGCCACUGCAGCCCUCCUCACCCUUGCUUAAGCAUCCUGCCUUGCUCUGAGCUGCUCCAGCGGGCAGAACUCAGGAGUGUGCUGGCUCUGAUGGUCCUCGCUCAGUGCAGUGUGUGCCACACAACCCCAUUGGCUGUGACAAAACAUGGUGCCUCUGGGUCCCUGCCUUCCCUCCAGGAAGCGCCUGCAGUCCAGCACAGUGUCUCCUGCUUUAUGUUCCCCAGACAAGCUGUUAUCACCGCAGACAGCUCUGCCACUGCUGAGAGUAUCAUUUGAAAGAGGACUAUCAAUGCAGGUGACCUGAAUCCUGAUGUGGCAGUGCAGACGUGGGGUCAGCAGUACACCACUGCAACUCUUUAAUGCUGACUUUUUGGAUACAGGGCAGGAUGUGUCAGGAUCAGUCGUUGCACAUGAUCCUGGAGCACUGAAGAAAAGCAAGAACAACUGUUCGCAAUUAGCUCCAAGUAUGUAUUGCCCACCAUCUUAUCUCUGAUAGUGGUCAAGAGCUAUUAUUGUGGGCAGUGCGAGAAGGGGGCAUAGCUACUGCAGUAGCAGUACCACCCAGAAUACUUGAUGAUAUGAAGCUCAGAGGCCUCGGAAACAAAAAUAGGGUCUUCUAUUUAACCAGUGUGGGUGGAUUUCUUUUUCUCCCACAAUGAUAUUUAACUUCUUUUUGAAUGCACAUAAACCUCAAUGACCCACUGUAUCCUCUGUUAAGCAGUUUGACACUGCAUAGUGCAUAUUAAAAAAAAAACAACUGCUUUUUGUUUUGUAGUCACUACCUCCUAAUUUAUGGGGCACUGAUGGUUCUUAUAUCAAAGGGACAAUGAGAAACCACACUGAAGUCAAACUCUGUCUGCCAAACUUGAUUUCAUAAUCCUGUCACACUUUUCUUCAGCCAUCUCUUCUCUGGGCUAAAGAGACUUUCUACUUUUCCUCAUAUGGAAGAUAUUCUUUGUAUUUGAUUUGCCUUGUUGCUCUUCUCUGAAACCCUCCCAACUCUAUUUUUCUUGAGAGAAGCCAACCAGAGUUCCAUAUGGUAAUCACAAUGCAGUCUCCACUAUGGCUCUGUUCAGUGGCAUAUCUCUGAUCUGUUCUCUCUUAUUUUCCUAAUAAUUCUUAACAGUCAGUUUGCCUUUUGGACUGCUCCUGGG